UAGUAAUGCCGGUCCGGGGGAUGGUUACAAGAACUACGCCUGUCGGACAGUUCACCGGUUAACAGGCGAGGUGCAGACGAGCGCCUACCCCGGCCGCAUAAUAGUGACGGAGCCGAAAGGAAACACUCAGCCCAGGAUAAGCGUCGACAAGUACAAUGCUCGGCGCGUCGUCCUCGGCGAAGACGUCACCCUGCCUUGCGUGGCGCAAGGACAUCCGGUUCCCGGUUACUACUGGAAGAGAGAACUGCAAGGCCAGAGCGUACCUGUUGCGCUGGGUGAACGACUCACCAUCCUCUCAGCCGGCUUACUGAGGAUAUCCAAGGUUCGGCUGGAAGACAGGGGAGUAUACGUGUGCUUCGCUAACAACUCGGCCGGGGAGGAAAGCGUGCGAGUCACCCUUGAAAUAACCGCUCCUCUGACGGCACACAUCCAGCCCCAAGUCCAAGUGGUGGACAUCGGGAAGGACGCCGGCUUCCAGUGUAUAGUCAAUGGGUAUCCUGUGUCGC